GGAGAUUUAGCUCAGUGGUAGAGCACUUGCCUAGCAAGCGCAAGGCCCUGGGUUCGGUCCCCAGCUCCA
rfam:Rattus norvegicus chromosome 18, whole genome shotgun sequence.